rnacentral:ncRNA from 1 species
UGGGCUCGAACGGCUUAAGACCGCCGUAGAAAUACGGUCUUUCCGCAAGGAACUUGAGUCGAGGUGCUGCAUGGCUGUCGUCAGCUCGUGUCGUGAGAUGUUGGGUUAAGUCCCGCAACGAGCGCAACCCUCGUCCUGUGUUGCCAUCAUUAAGUUGGGAACUCGCAGGAGACCGCCAGCGAUAAGUUGGAGGAAGGUGGGGAUGACGUCAAGUCAUCAUGGCCUUUAUGUCCAGGGCUACACACGUGCUACAAUGGUCGGUACAAACCGUUGCGAAAUCGCGAGAUGGAGCUAAUCGGAGAAAACCGAUCUCAGUUCGGAUUGCAGGCUGCAACUCGCCUGCAUGAAGCUGGAAUCGCUAGUAAUGCCGUAUCAGAAUGACGGCGUGAAUACGUUCCCGGGCCUUGUACACACCGCCCGUCACAUCACGAAAGUGGAUUGUACUAGAAGUCUGCGUGCUAACCGCAAGGAGGCAGCGGCCCAAGGUAUGACUCAUGAUUGGGGUGAAGUCGUAACAAGGUAGCCGUAGGAGAACCUGCGGCUGGAUCACCUCCUUU